rnacentral:rRNA from 1 species
UACAGAGGGUGCAAGCGUUGUCCGGAAUUACUGGGCGUAAAGCGCGCGUAGGCGGACCUGCAAGUCGGGGGUGAAAGCCCGAGGCUCAACCUCGGAACUGCCUUCGAUACUGCGGGUCUCGAGUCCGGGAGAGGUGAGUGGAAUUCCUAGUGUAGAGGUGAAAUUCGUAGAUAUUAGGAAGAACACCAGUGGCGAAGGCGGCUCACUGGCCCGGUACUGACGCUGAGACGCGAAAGCGUGGGGAGCAAACAGG